rnacentral:tRNA from 1 species
UGGGGUGUCGCCAAGCGGUAAGGCACGGGAUUUUGAUUCCCGCAUCCGUAGGUUCGAAUCCUGCCACCCCAGCCA